AUGAACGCUAGCUACAGGCUUAACACAUGCAAGUCGAGGGGCAGCAUUUUAGUUUGCUUGCAAACUGAAGAUGGCGACCGGCGCACGGGUGAGUAACACGUAUCCAACCUGCCGAUAACUCCGGGAUAGCCUUUCGAAAGAAAGAUUAAUACCGGAUAGUAUACGAAUAUCGCAUGAUAUUUUUAUUAAAGAAUUUCGGUUAUCGAUGGGGAUGCGUUCCAUUAGUUUGUUGGCGGGGUAACGGCCCACCAAGACUACGAUGGAUAGGGGUUCUGAGAGGAAGGUCCCCCACAUUGGAACUGAGACACGGUCCAAACUCCUACGGGAGGCAGCAGUGAGGAAUAUUGGUCAAUGGGCGCGAGCCUGAACCAGCCAAGUAGCGUGAAGGAUGAAGGCUCUAUGGGUCGUAAACUUCUUUUAUAUGGGAAUAAAGUUUUCCACGUGUGGAAUUUUGUAUGUACCAUAUGAAUAAGGAUCGGCUAACUCCGUGCCAGCAGCCGCGGUAAUACGGAGGAUCCGAGCGUUAUCCGGAUUUAUUGGGUUUAAAGGGAGCGUAGGUGGAUUGUUAAGUCAGUUGUGAAAGUUUGCGGCUCAACCGUAAAAUUGCAGUUGAAACUGGCAGUCUUGAGUACAGUAGAGGUGGGCGGAAUUCGUGGUGUAGCGGUGAAAUGCUUAGAUAUCACGAAGAACUCCGAUUGCGAAGGCAGCUCACUAGACUGUCACUGACACUGAUGCUCGAAAGUGUGGGUAUCAAACAGGAUUAGAUACCCUGGUAGUCCACACAGUAAACGAUGAAUACUCGCUGUUUGCGAUAUACAGUAAGCGGCCAAGCGAAAGCAUUAAGUAUUCCACCUGGGGAGUACGCCGGCAACGGUGAAACUCAAAGGAAUUGACGGGGGCCCGCACAAGCGGAGGAACAUGUGGUUUAAUUCGAUGAUACGCGAGGAACCUUACCCGGGCUUAAAUUGCAACAGAAUAUAUUGGAAACAGUAUAGCCGUAAGGCUGUUGUGAAGGUGCUGCAUGGUUGUCGUCAGCUCGUGCCGUGAGGUGUCGGCUUAAGUGCCAUAACGAGCGCAACCCUUAUCUUUAGUUACUAACAGGUGAUGCUGAGGACUCUAGAGAGACUGCCGUCGUAAGAUGUGAGGAAGGUGGGGAUGACGUCAAAUCAGCACGGCCCUUACGUCCGGGGCUACACACGUGUUACAAUGGGGGGUACAGAAGGCGGCUACCUGGUGGCAGGAUGCUAAUCCCAAAAACCUCUCUCAGUUCGGAUCGAAGUCUGCAACCCGACUUCGUGAAGCUGGAUUCGCUAGUAAUCGCGCAUCAGCCAUGGCGCGGUGAAUACGUUCCCGGGCCUUGUACACACCGCCCGUCAAGCCAUGAAAGCCGGGGGUACCUGAAGUACGUAACCGCAAGGAGCGUCCUAGGGUAAAACUGGUAAUUGGGGCU
rnacentral:rRNA from 1 species